rnacentral:rRNA from 1 species
GACAGAGGGUGCAAACGUUGUUCGGAAUUACUGGGCGUAAAGCGUGUGUAGGCGGCUCUGCAAGUUGGAUGUGAAAUCCCUCGGCUCAACCAAGGAAGUGCAUCCAAAACUGCAGAGCUUGAGUACUUAAGAGGAUCGCGGAAUUCCCGGUGUAGAGGUGAAAUUCGUAGAUAUCGGGAGGAACACCAGUGGCGAAGGCGGCGAUCUGGGAAGAUACUGACGCUGAGGUGCGAAAGCGUGGGGAGCAAACAGG